UACACANGCAGUCGAGCGGAUGAGAGGAGCUUGCUCCUGGAUUCAGCGGCGGACGGGUGAGUAAUGCCUAGGAAUCUGCCUGGUAGUGGGGGACAACGUUUCGAAAGGAACGCUAAUACCGCAUACGUCCUACGGGAGAAAGCAGGGGACCUUCGGGCCUUGCGCUAUCAGAUGAGCCUAGGUCGGAUUAGCUAGUUGGUGAGGUAAUGGCUCACCAAGGCGACGAUCCGUAACUGGUCUGAGAGGAUGAUCAGUCACACUGGAACUGAGACACGGUCCAGACNNCUACGGGAGGCAGCAGUGGGGAAUAUUGGACAAUGGGCGAAAGCCUGAUCCAGCCAUGCCGCGUGUGUGAAGAAGGUCUUCGGAUUGUAAAGCACUUUAAGUUGGGAGGAAGGGCAGUAAAUUAAUACUUUGCUGUUUUGACGUUACCGACAGAAUAAGCACCGGCUAACUCUGUGCCAGCAGCCGCGGUAAUACAGAGGGUGCAAGCGUUAAUCGGAAUUACUGGGCGUAAAGCGCGCGUAGGUGGUUCGUUAAGUUGGAUGUGAAAUCCCCGGGCUCAACCUGGGAACUGCAUUCAAAACUGUCGAGCUAGAGUAUGGUAGAGGGUGGUGGAAUUUCCUGUGUAGCGGUGAAAUGCGUAGAUAUAGGAAGGAACACCAGUGGCGAAGGCGACCACCUGGACUGAUACUGACACUGAGGUGCGAAAGCGUGGGGAGCAAAC
rnacentral:rRNA from 1 species